CCCACGUCCCUCCCAGCAGUGUGAGGAAAGCUGGUGGAAGAGGGCGACGGGAGGUCGCCAGCCAGCAACUGCGCUGCCGGGACUGCCUCGCAGGGAAUCCUCCAUUCCUGCUCCAGUCGCCGACCCGCCUUCCCUCUGCCCGGACGUUCCCCAGCGAAAUGGCAGCGCAGCACCAGCGUCCACACCUGCUGGAGAAGACGUCCACCCCCCUCCACACCACACACCUACCACCAUCUCCAGCGACGUGCCCAGCCCCAUGUGGGACAGCCCAAUUGUCCCGGGACCCUUCAGUGGGGCAGCAGACACUGAUAAGACCACCACCAUCCUCUCGUGUCUGCUUGGGUCAGCAUGGGGCUGGAGCGCAGCCCUCUGGCAGCAGGGAGAGACAGACAGCAGUUUUCGGGACUUCCAGCAGAGACUGAGGGCGGAGUUUGAUCAGCCAGAGCCUGAGCCAGGGAUCGAACUCUGCCCCUCCACCACAUCCAGCGCCAGUCAGGAUCCGGGGCAAGAAGACCAAGCACGGGCGGGCGACGAGAAGGUCGCGCCUCCCGAGAUCCUGGCUGUGCCCCCUGAGGAGGUCCCGGAGAGCUCAGAGAGGGAACUAGACGACCCUCUCUUCUGUCUGUCUCUGUCUGUGUGUGUCUGUGUGGCAUAUGUGUCCGUAUGUCGCCCCCACUUCCCCUCUUUGUGUCCACCAGAUGGCGACCCAGCCGCGGAGCCGAACCCCAGGGAGGAGGUUCCUGACCCGAAUGUGCUGGUCCAAGGCGAGGUGGACAAGCCCCAAGGUACCCCUAAGUCCAGCCGGGGGGGGUGCUCCCCCAAAGAAAUUUUUGGGGGGGUGCAGUUCGGGUUGGGGACUCCUCCUGAGGGGAGGGGAGGUGGGGAAGCGAUGGAGCUGGGUCCUCCGGUAGCCAGUGAGGAGGGCGGGCCAGGCAUGGGCCUGCGUCUGCCUCCAGAGGGGUGGAGCGCCAUAGAGCCCCCGGGUAGGCAUGAGGACCCAGCUGGGACAGGCAGGAAGAGGGCCUGCUUGUCCCAACGGACGCAGAAGGGGCUAGCCGGAUGGUCAUGCAAUGCCCCCCCCUUGGCACCAGGGCCGUGCAGCGAGAGGGGCUGCAUAGUCCCAGAAGGCACCAGCCUGGGGUGCCUGGAACAGUCGCCAGAGGCUCUGGGACAAUCUCCCUGCGCGGUGCAGGGGGUGACACAAGAAGUGUCAG
ensembl:lncRNA